AAUCAACGCUGGCGGCGUGCCUCAGACAUGCAAGUCGAACGAUUAAAGCUCUCUUCGGAGAGUGUAUAGAGUGGCGCACGGGUGAGUAACACGUAAGUAAUCUACCCUCGAGUGGGGAAUAACAACCGGAAACGGUUGCUAAUACCGCAUAAUGCAGCGGCACCGCAAGGUGACAGUUGUUAAAGAUUUAUCGCUUGAGGAGGAGCUUGCGGCAGAUUAGCUAGUAGGUAGGGUAACGGCUUACCAAGGCUACGAUCUGUAACCGGUCUAAGAGGACGGUCGGUCACACUGACACUGAAUAACGGGUCAGACUCCUACGGGAGGCAGCAGUCGGGAAUUUUGGGCAAUGGGCGAAAGCCUGACCCAGCAACGCCGCGUGAAGGAUGAAGUAUUUCGGUAUGUAAACUUCGAAAGAAUAGGAAGAAUUAAUGACGGUACUAUUUAUAAGGUCCGGCUAACUACGUG
rnacentral:rRNA from 1 species